rnacentral:lncRNA from 1 species
UGCUAUUUUUACUUUGAUAAUUAAUACGUACUUUGUGGGGGGUACUUUGAGACUAUGUAAAUACGCCAUCCUUUAGCAAACCUUCCCCCCAGAAGGAUUUUUAAAUAGUAUCACUUAACAAAACACGUGAUGAACAUCUUUAGUACAUAUCAUCGCAGAGAGAUACAGCCUCAUAUGUGGAUCUCCUGGGUUAAGUGCAUGAACAACUAAAAUUGAUGAUUAGGGGGCCAGCCCAGCGGCUGAGCGGUUAAGUUCUGUGCUGUGCUUUAGCAGCCCAGGGUUUUGCUGGUUUGGAUCUUGGAUGCGGACUUAGCACUGCUCAUCAAGCCAUGCUGAGGCAGCGUCCCACAUAGCACAACUGGAAGUAAUUACAACUAGAAUAUACAACUACGUACUUGGGGACUUUGAGGAAAAGAAGAAAAAAAGAAGAUUGACAACAGAUGUUAGCUCAGGGCCAAUCUUUAAAAAAAAAAAAAAAUUGAUGGUUACUUCCAGGUUGAAGGUGUGUACAAAUUUACACCACCUUGACAAUAUUUGGGUGUAUAUGUCUAUGCCCCCUGUGUGUUACAACCACUUUCAUCUCUGUCAGUAGGUUAGCAGAAAUACAUCUCAUUUGUAGUAGAAGUGAGUUUGAACAUCUCUCCCUAUUUUUUCACCAUAUGCUUUCUCUUUGCUCAUUCAUGCUUUUGCUUAUGUAUUUGCUCGUGAAUUAACUUGUCCCCUAUUAAUUUAUGACUUCUUUAAAAAUUGAACUCCAUUUUUUUUAUUUUGAUGUUUUUAUAACUGACUCCCCGAAAUCGAAAUAAAAGCCUCUUUCCACACACAGUAAAUAAAGACACUCCCCAGAGCCACACUUCCUUCCUGCAGACCCUGUGAAAUAUGGCCUAGACCCCGCCCCUUCCAGUGCCGCUACCCCGGAGCCUCCCCGGAAUGUAGUUUCUCUGGGCUCCACUCACCGCGCCUGCGUAGUGCCGCGCGCGGGCUGCGUUUGUCCAGUUCAGCUGCAAGCUGCGUGAUCAGGAGUCUCCUGUACCUCCCCAAACCCCAACCUCCAAUGACCCAGCUAACACCCUCAUCCCGCCACCACCUCUCAGCUUUCCAGUGGGCUCGCCGUCUUCCUGAGUCUGGUAAGUGAAACCACACUGUAAGGAUAUGAUUUCUACUUCAUAUAGGCUGUGUAUGUAUCAUAUCAUUCCUCUUUUUACUAUAUGUUAGUGCGAUUUAGGUUUUAUGUGUUGUUUGGUAUGAUUUGGUAGGUUAAUUUUGGGUCUGGGAACACUCAAAAAUCUUUC